AUUUUGAUGUAUGAGAAUAUGUCUGUUGCCGAAACUGCCAACUUUCAUAGCUCCAGAAUUAUCCAACAUGGCGGAUCAAAACUCGUCAAAAUUCAGAGAAAUGAAGAUUUCGAAGAAAGAGUUGGCCAAUGCUAAAGUGCCUCUUCAUCUUCGCGAUUACUGUGCUCACCUUAUGGUGCCAUUGUUGGAAUGUCGGAGAAAUACAUACUUUUUACCGUGGAAAUGUAAACAUGAACGCCACGAGUGGGAAGUGUGCGAAUAUACAGAUUUUCUCAUGCGGCAAAGGGAUUAUCAGAAUCAGAAACGCAAGUAGAUGAACAACUACACUGAACUAAUGAUUUGAAAUUCAAAUUUAAUGUUAAUUGAGAUAAUGUUUUUGUCAGUGUAGAAUGGAGUUUCUGUAACUUUUAUAUUUCUUUA